rnacentral:lncRNA from 1 species
CUUCUGAUCUGCAGGCGGUUGGCCGUCCGCGUCUGGCGAAGGAGCUGGGGUAGUGUGCUCUGGCGAUGGCGCUGGGCGACGCCUGGGCGCAGGUGCAGUCACCGGAGCAGGGGCAAGUGGGGGUGUGGGUGCAUGUGCAGGCGACGGCGACGGCGACGGCGAGACCGGUACAGGGGCAGGCGACGGCGAGACCGGCGCAAGGGCAGGUGUAGGUGCAUGUGCAGGCGAGGAGGCCGGCGCAGGGGCGGGCGCAGUGUGUCCCUGGUCGUCGUUAGACUGCUGCCUUGGCAGGAGCACCGCGUCGAUGAGGUAGACGGAGAGCGGCGCCUUGUCGAG